UACGUAGGGCCCGAGCGUUGUCCGGAAUUAUUGGGCGUAAAGGGCUCGUAGGCGGUCUGUUGCGUCGGGAGUGAAAACUUACAGCUUAACUGUGAGCGUGCUUCCGAUACGGGCAGACUUGAGGUAUUCAGGGGAGAACGGAAUUCCUGGUGUAGCGGUGAAAUGCGCAGAUAUCAGGAGGAACACCGGUGGCGAAGGCGGUUCUCUGGGAAUAUCCUGACGCUGAGGAGCGAAAGUGUGGGGAGCGAACAGG
rnacentral:rRNA from 1 species